AGGAAUGUGAAAAGAUUAUAGGUGGAUACUCCCAUGAAGAUAUUAUAAUUGUCUUCAUGUGAUGAUUUUUCUUUUUGACCCUUAGAUGAUGGAGUGUAGGGUUAGAUUUUGAUAUGUUAUAAAAGUGUUGUUUUUAUUU